UUUAUAGGGCGUGUAUCAAAUUGAAUUCAGUAAAUCCAACAGUUAUCAUGAAUUUUAAAAUCGGACUUGUUUUAUUCGUUGUUUUUGGAAUGACAACGGCCCGUCGACGACGAAUCAUGCAAGAACCUAAUCCUACAAUAGUAAUAGUUCAGAACAUAAUAACGCCAGAUAUUGAUGUUAAGGAUACCAGAAUGGACUGUUUACCGUGCGCUGCAAAACCGAUAUGCGGUAAAAGCACGAAGUGUAGAGAGGAAUUGAUUCUACCUCCAUCUAUAACAGAGCUUCCUUUCGGCCUUGGAUAUUUUCCUGCUGCCUUGCCAUUAGUCUCGCGUUGUUUCCAACCGGAUUGCAUGUGUACCGAGGCGACCAUUCCAGUAACAAAUAGAUGUAGUUGCAUGUCUCUUGCAAGUCCAGUGUUUCCCGACUAUGAAUGUUUAGUACGACCUAUAAUUUUGUAAGAAUAUUUAUUCAAUAAAAUUGUUAUGUUGA